UACAGAGGGGGCAAGCGUUGUUCGGAAUUACUGGGCGUAAAGGGCGCGUAGGCGGCCCGUUAAGUCGAACGUGAAAUCCCCGGGCUCAACCCGGGAACUGCGUCCGAUACUGGCAGGCUUGAAUUCGGGAGAGGGAUGUGGAAUUCCAGGUGUAGCGGUGAAAUGCGUAGAUAUCUGGAGGAACACCGGUGGCGAAGGCGGCAUCCUGGACCGGUAUUGACGCUGAUGCGCGAAAGCCAGGGGAGCAAACGGG
rnacentral:rRNA from 1 species